UAACAUCAAUUGACACUUUCUUGGCUUGAUAAAAUUGUUGUUGAGUACUAUUUUUUUUAAUCUACUUUUCUUGCAAUUUUAUUUCCUGUGAAAAAAAAAAUGAAAAUAAAAGAAAAGAAGAGAAGAGAGAAAAGAAAGGAAACAAAUAAAAGAAAUCCUGAUCAAGUAACAUCUUAUUGGAAAGUACUUGCCUUUUUGGUACUCAACCAUCUUUCUUUGAAACAGUGUAAGAACUAACGCUUCAUAAAGCAAACACCCAUACAUCGGUAAUAAUCGG
rnacentral:lncRNA from 1 species